rnacentral:ncRNA from 1 species
GCGGAGUAAAUCCGCUGGGAUGUAACCGAAAAGGUUGAACCGUAAA